rnacentral:rRNA from 1 species
AACGGGAAGCCUGGCUUCGGCCGGGUGGAGAGUGGCGCACGGGUGAGUAACGCGUGGGCACCUGCCCUGGGGUAGGGAAUAACCGCUGGAAACGGCGGCUAAUACCCUAUACGCCUUUUGAGGGAAAGAUUUAUCGCCCUGGGAUGGGCCCGCGUCGGAUUAGGUAGUUGGUGGGGUAAAGGCCUACCAAGCCCGCGAUCCGUAGCUGGUCUGAGAGGAUGAUCAGCCACACUGGGACUGAGACACGGCCCAGACUCCUACGGGAGGCAGCAGUGGGGAAUAUUGGACAAUGGGGGCAACCCUGAUCCAGCCAUGCCGCGUGAGUGAAGAAGGCCUUAGGGUUGUAAAGCUCUUUCAACGGUGAAGAUGAUGACGGUAGCCGUAGAAGAAGCCCCGG